rnacentral:tRNA from 1 species
GAGGGUGUGGCUCAGGGACAGAGCAUGUGCUUAGCAUGCACGAGGUCCUGGGUUCCAGCCCCAGUGCCUCCA